rnacentral:rRNA from 1 species
CAGUAGCCGCGGUAAUACGAAGGGGGCUAGCGUUGCUCGGAAUCACUGGGCGUAAAGGGUGCGUAGGCGGGUCUUUAAGUCAGGGGUGAAAUCCUGGAGCUCAACUCCAGAACUGCCUUUGAUACUGAAGAUCUUGAGUUCGGGAGAGGUGAGUGGAACUGCGAGUGUAGAGGUGAAAUUCGUAGAUAUUCGCAAGAACACCAGUGGCGAAGGCGGCUCACUGGCCCGAUACUGACGCUGAGGCACGAAAGCGUGGUGAGCAAACAGGAUUAGAUACCCGCGUAGUCCCUGUCUCUUAUAC